ensembl:lncRNA
GUAGGGACAGUUGUGGAGGAAGCGUUAAUGACAACCCCCGUGCGGGAGGCUCGUUGGUCUAGGGAUGCGAGCGUCGAGCGCCAUGCCUGGAGCCCCAUCUGGCCGUGCUCCUCUGCUGCAAGGGACCAGCAACGCCCGGCACUGACCCGGCCUCGCGCCCUCCCUCUCCUCCCCAGCCCCGGGGCCUGACCGCACAGGUCUGGGCGGGCUCGGACCUUGGGCCUGGGGGCGAGAGGCAGGGGCUGCGUGGGUCCCGGGGGGCCCUUGGACGCCCCUCCGCGUUGGUCCCGGAUCAGCGAACCCCUCUGCCCCUGCCGCCCCGGGUCCCCGAGGUCUCCCUGCUGAGACCCCAGCGCUCUGCCCAAGGCUGGGCUGGGAGGAGAGCUCAGCCCACUUCGGAGUGACCGGAGGCGCGCCGGGAUGGGUGGGGACGGUUGUGGAGGAAGCGCUGGUGACAGUUGCCACGCGGAGGGCUCGUUGGUCUAGGGGUGUGAUUCUCUCUGGGUGCGCUGCCCCGGCGGGACACCUGUUUCCUCCGGCUGCUCCGAUUGAGAUGUGCUGCUUUAAACGUAAAAUACACGUCGGAUCUUGAAGACUCGUUGCAAGAAAAAAUCAGCUUGUCAAUCUACACAGAAGCAGCGAUCGGGAUUUUGGCUGGGAUAGCGUGGAUUCUGCAGCAUGGAUUCUGCGGAUCAGUUUGGGGUGAUUUGACGUCGUUACAGUAUUGGAUCUUCCAACCCAUGAGCAUGAUGUAUCCAUUUAUGAAGGUCUUCUUUAACUUAUCGCCAUAGUGUUUUAUAUUUUUCUGAGAUAGAUUUUGCACAUCUUUCAUCAGCAUUUUUGCUAAGUGUUUGAUGUUGUUGAUGCUAUUGUAAAUUGUAUCGUUUUGAAUAUAAUUUUCUAUUUUAUGCAGAUAUGUAAAAAUACAGUAAGUUUUUGCAUAUUAAUCUUGGAUUCAGUGACAUUGUGGAGCUCACAUAUUAUUUCUAAUCUAUAGAAUUUUCUACAUGUUCCAGCAUGUCAUCUGUGAAUAAUGGCAGUAUUAUUUAUAUCCAAUUCUUAUCUAUACUUUUUGAUUUUCUUGCCUUAUUGCACUAAGACCUCCAAUAAAGUGUUAAGUAGAAAUAUGAUAGAAGGCAUCCUUGUUUUCUUCCAUAAUUCACAAUUCCAGAAUAGUGCACAAUUUAAGAGAAGUUUUCAGAAUUCUUCUACUCAAUGUUUGCCAUCUUUUAUUUCAAUAGUUACCAUUUGUCAGUUAUUAUUGCUGAGUAACACUCCC